rnacentral:rRNA from 1 species
AGAGUUUGAUCAUGGCUCAGGAUGAACGCUGGCGGCGUGCUUAACACAUGCAAGUCGAACGAAGUUUUCGGACUUAGUGGCGGACGGGUGAGUAACGCGUGAGGAUCUACCCUUAGGUGGGGGACAACAGUUGGAAACGACUGCUAAUACCGCAUAAGCCGAGAGGUAAAAGAUUUAUUGUCUAAGGAUGAACUCGCGUCUGAUUAGCUAGUUGGUGAGGUAAGGGCUUACCAAGGCGACGAUCAGUAGCUGGUCUGAGAGGAUGAUCAGCCACACUGGGACUGAGACACGGCCCAGACUCCUACGGGAGGCAGCAGUGGGGAAUUUUCCGCAAUGGGGGCAACUCUGACGGAGCAACGCCGCGUGGGGGAGGAAGGUCUGUGGAUUGUAAACCCCUUUUCUCAGGGAAGAAGUUCUGACGGUACCUGAGGAAUCAGCAUCGGCUAACUCCGUGCCAGCCGCCGCGGUAAUAC